AUCUUCAACAAUAUCAAGGCACAGAUAUGGCAGGAAAUUCUUUGAAGUCUAUUUUGGUGAGCCUCUUCAUCUUCGCCAUGGUACUAUCUCCAAUAAUACCAUCAGCUGAAGCCGGCCGUCUGAAUCAUCGAGGCCUCGCUGGAACCUCCCGAAAAAUAUGUCCAACUUGUGUCUGCUGCACACCUCCAUCUCGAGGGUCCUGCUGCAACAAGUGCUGUGCUUCUCCUAUUCAAACUCAGUCAACAACUGGGUCUCCAUGAAACUAUAUGUUCACGCUCCUCUUGCACUCGUGGAUACAGUAAUAGAUUAGCAUGAAUAAAAAUUCUCAGAGAAGAAGAAGAAGAAGUACUGAAUAAAAAGGAAUAAUAUCUCUCUCGUUAAUUUGUAUUUUGUACUACUUAAUGUUUCAUUUAAUCCCAAAUUAAGGAAUGGUUGGCUUGUUAA